GGCGGGGUCUGGGGCGGGGACCCUGAGGCCUGGGGUGAGGCUUGGAUGGGGUCUGGAGUGAGUGACCCUGCCGUGCCGGCGCCAGGACCGGUCACCCAGCGCGGCCUGCAGCUCCUCGCCAGCGGCCAAGGACACCCUUGAGAAAAAGUUCGGUCCCCUGUCCCCGUCUCCGAGUCCCUGGGAGACACCGCCGUCCUGCGCCACCGCCCACCUCGGCAGCCCCUGCCGUCACCCCGCGGGUCUGCCGGGACUCCCGGAAGCCGCUGUGCGCGGCCCAGCAUGCCCCGAGGCUCUGGGUUCCCUGCCCUGGGCGGAGGCAGCCAGCUACAGCAUCGGGGGUUUGAGGAGUGCGCGCACCACUUACAAACACGCCCUCCAUCCACUUCCUGCCUGUGUCUCUCCUGCCCCCGCACCCCGCCACGAUUCUGCCACGUGCCUCCACUUCCGGCUGCACACCUCUCGGCGGGUCUCACCGGGGCCUCUAGGCCGGCCUCCGGUCCCCAGGUCCCGCCGGGGUCCUCCAGGGCCGUCCGCAGCCAAGCCCCUUCCUUUCCGCCUGUAGCCCGCGCCCAGGGAGCCCCAGCGUCGCCGCAUGCCUUCCCCACCCACCCAAGGUCGCGGCGAGGGUCCCGGCCCCGGGGCCUCUGCCGGCCAUUUCCCCAGGCCGAUUUUCUGGAGUUUUCCGAGUCAGACCAGCGCUGGGGGCUGACCCCCGCGUGGCCUUGUCAUGAUUAGGUUCAGGUUAAACAUUUCUGGUCGCCAGUCACACGGAUGUCAGCGGCCCCGCGCCCAGCCUUGCGGACUUGGUCACUCAUUUGGUUAAGGGGUGUUUGAGCCACAUCUUUAUUGCAAAGUACUUUUCUACACCUGGGGAAGAUCUUCUGCUCCAUGAACGGUUUUAAGAAACUAUGCUGUCAUCAUACACAACUUUGUAUCCUGGUUUUUUACUUAGCAGAUUGAAUUGUGAAUGUCUUCUCAUACAAUUAAACAGCUCCAACAGCUGAUUUGGGCGCUCCCUAAAUUGCAGCCUGCGGGGGUACUGUACUUAAUGAGCAUGACUCCGGGCUUACAAAUGGACGCUUGGCCACCGCACGUUUACCUGGGCUCGCUUGCUGAUGUAUUUUCAGCUGAGAACAAUGUCUGGCAAGUAGCAGGAGCUCAGUAAAAAGUUUUGAAAGGUCGAACUCAGCUUGAAUCCAGUUGUCCAAUAUUACAGGAAUUGCCUGUGUGCAACAUCCUGGCGCACAAACCUUCGCAUUGAUUUUAGGAGGCUCAAACAUUUAUGAGAAGGGAAACAUUUCUGUUGAUGGAGUGAAAAAUAAGGCUGCAAAGUCACACGUGUGCUCAGAUAUGUGGAGAACCAUCUGAGAGAAAAUAGACCAAAAAAUCAACAGGGAUUAACGCUGAACAUUUGGAUGGUGAAAGGUUUCGAUUUAUUAUGAAAGUUCCUCUAGGAGCACCUGAGUGGCUCAAUUGGUUAAGUGUCUGACUUGGGCUCAGGUCAUGAUCUCACACUCUGUGAGUUCGAGCCCCGCGUCAGGCUCUGUGCUGACAGCUCAGAGCCUGGAGCCUGCUUCGGAUUCUGUCUCCCUCUCUCUCUGCCCCUCCCCCGUUUGUGCUCUGUCUCUCUCUCAAAAAUAAAUAAACAUUAAAAAAAAAGUU